rnacentral:tRNA from 1 species
GAAGAUAUAGCUCAGUGGCAGAACAUGUGCUUAGCGUACAUGAGGUUCUGGGCUCAGUCCCCAGUACCUUCA